GUUGAUCCCACAUUUGGAAUAAACCAUCUUUUCGUUUCAAGAUAUCAUGCAUGGUUGAGUUGUAUUGAACUUUCAGGUUCAGUUUUGUGGCAUAAUCGUUUAAGUAUUGUACAAGUACAUCUGCUGGUGG